rnacentral:rRNA from 1 species
UACAGAGGUGGCAAGCGUUGUUCGGAAUUACUGGGCGUAAAGGGCGCGUAGGCGGCCUUCUAAGUCAGACGUGAAAUCCCCCGGCUUAACCUGGGAACUGCGUCUGAUACUGGAGGGCUUGAGUGCGGGAGAGGGAUGUGGAAUUCCAGGUGUAGCGGUGAAAUGCGUAGAUAUCUGGAGGAACACCGGUGGCGAAGGCGGCAUCCUGGACCAACACUGACACUGAGGAGCGAAAGCCAGGGGAGCAAACGGG